rnacentral:tRNA from 1 species
AGGGUUGUGGCGGAAUGGUAGACGCACUGGUCUUUGAAAUCAGAAACUGUGGGUUCGAGUCCCACCAGCCUUGCCA